GACCCGCCGCGGGGGCCGAACCCCUGGAGCGUCCCAUCCCCCCCGAAGCGCAGGCUCCAGUGCGGCUCUCAGCCUGCUCUGUACGGGGCCGCAGGGCUCUGCCCCUUGCUCUUUAGCUGCUUUGGAAGGACUCUUGCUAAUCGAGCUACGGACACUGGUGUAGACCAGCCCCUGGAGUAGGACUUGACAGGCAUUUUCCCAGCGAGUGACUCAACUGUUUAUUAGUCAAUAGCAGAUUAUUGGGCCCAGAGCCUCCAUGGAAGUUAGGGCCCUAAAUACCUUUGGGGAUCUGGGCUUUAGUGACCAGGAAUUUUGGAGUCUGAUACUGGCUCUGGAAACUGUGUGUGGCUGGAGAAGAGAAGACAGGUCUCCAGUUCAUUCUUCUGGCAGCAAGACAGAAAUACCCUUGCCUGAAGGAAGGGGAACAGUGCAGGAGUGACUGGUUUCUGCUGAAAUGAAUCUGGCUUCUUUCCUCUGGCUCUUUUGGAGUACGCCUGCACUGCAAUUGGAGAGUAUCAGGAGGGGAGAGAUGAGGAAGCCAUUUUGUUGCCCCAGGAAUGUGACUUGUCCUGUCUUUUCUCCCAGGAAGGGGAUGGGAAGCCACCAAAGAAAUCCAGCCCCUCUCCAUGCUGAAAGACUGCAGUUGGCUGGAGAACUAGUGAAAUGGUGAUAUCACAGGAGCCAACAGAAUGAGAGCAGACCAACUGGGAGAAGAGCUUUUGGUUAGACUAUUUACAACAGUG